rnacentral:lncRNA from 1 species
GGUUAGUUCUGGCCAUUGUUUCCACAAUGCUUUAGGUACAAAUGGAACUGCUCAGAGAGAACAGUGGGGUGGGUGGUAACGGGGCAUGGAAGUGAUGCACAAGCAAGCUAAAGCGUAAAAGUAAAGAGCUAUGGCUACUUGCAAAAGGACAGGCUGAAAAUAUAAAUUCAGAAGUGCACUAGGCUGUCAAAGCUGGUCAGUGCUGGCAGGAUACUGUUACCCGCUCUAUUUUAUUUCUUUGUAUCUCACAUAUAUUUUUCAGCAACACCCUACUUAUGGAAAAGACUCAAAAAUACCAACAAAAAGAGGGCUGGGGCAACAUCAUGAAAUUCAAGUCUUUAACGAGCCACCAUUCAAGAUAUUUAGAAGUGUUCUUCCUUUUCACAGUAUUCUAAAUAAUGUUACUGCUGCUGUUCUAUUGGGAUUCUUCAAUGCAAGAGAAAUAUCUCCCCUGGCUGUGUGCAGUCAGCUCUAGUUUGAAUGUAAGAGAAUAUUUUGAGUUGGUCUUCAUCAUCACCCAGAAUCACACUACUGGGAAUGGCAGCAGUAUCCUUUGGCACUGUGAAGUCACCUCCAGAAAUAGUGGCUCAUGGCUCUCUUCAGGUUAUUCCAAUAUCAUACGAGGUAGUAAAGUGUGAUUCCAGCAGACCCAGAGACUGCCUCUUGGAGAACCUGGCACAUGAUCACUGGCCCUUUUUGAAAUGACAAGCAAGCCACAACAAAAGAACAGGAGUCCAUUAUUUUGGAAGUAAGUGUUUCUGUACCUGGACGCUAUGUUCUCAUCAAGUGGUAGAGAUGCACAAAUUUUCUUUAGCAAUACUGCCAUUUUGCUUGCUUGGAAUGGCCCUUAUGUGUCCUUGUCUGUAUCUAACACUGACAAAUUAACAAAUAAUGUGCACCUUAAAAUUUCUGUUGUAAGCUUGCUUUCUCUGGCUGAUAACAAGUUUCCAGUAAACUCAGUUUGUGCUAUAGAUGCAAAGGAGUUUUUUGUCAGACUAAUUCCUUCCUAACCAUGGAUAAUCAUUAUCCACUAUAAAUUACCUAAUUAUCUUUUUUUUUUUUUUUUUUUUUUUUAAUUGUGUGGAAAAAGAAACAAGGAGUUUGGUUGCCAAAUCCCUCAGAAGUGGCCUAAAUGCUCAUUGUCUAACUGAGAUCACAGAUUCAGACUGUUGUCCCAUUGUCCAGCAUCGGUGCAUGCAAUAGCCUGGCCUCAUAAAACAGACAUUUAGCUGAACAGAACCAAUUAGCCCUCCAUCGUUGCCCCUGUUCACAAUAGAAAAAACAGCUGAUGUUCCCUUAACUUGAAACAAUAGGAGGAUAUGCAUGGGCUGUGUAACUCUUACAAGCAGAGUAACUCUUUCCAGAGUGAGACCGUGAGAAAGUAAAGCCCAUAAAUGCCCUUUCAGUGGAUGAACUCCUGAACAGUCUUUUAUAAUGUGAACUCAUCUGUCAGCUGUCUGUAGAUGCACUUUUCUUUAGAAAAUCUCAGUUCAACUGCAGCAUGCCAGUUUUUAGUGAUAAACUAUUCUGCUGAAUAAUAUUCUGUCUCAGAACUGUAUUCAUCCCAGUAUUGAUUUAUUCAGCAACAUCUUUUCCCCCCAGCCCUCUUUUACAUUCCUUACCAUGCUUGCACCUCUUCCUAAUGGUCUCAGAAUAGCAAUGACCACCGAUGAGAGUAUGGCAAGAACUGAAUGUUGCUUCUAACAAUAGCAGUGAGGCUUCAUUUAAGAUUAAGAUGCUGAGAAAAUUCAAGUGAAGAAGCUGAUGAGCUCAGAAAUUCAGGCCUUCCAUAUGAAUUCAGUAAUUUACUUUCUUUUGACUGCUUUCUGCUCCACCUAGUUGGGAUGUUGCCACCACAUCUAAUGUCUGAAUACCAAGAACCCAGCUCCUGCUAGUGACAAGGCUGUGUUCACAAUAUGACUCCCUCUCUUCAAAACUAGUAUAUAGCAUUGUCUCACUUCCAACCCACAGUGUUUUCCAAGCACCUUCAGGCAACAGUUGCAAGUAUGAAACUCUUUGGACAAAGAGGCCUUCAUUAAUGGCAAGGCAAAGAUACCAUUAACUUCUGAGAAACAAUGCACAAUAAAUAAAACCAUCUAUUCA